GAGGGCAUACAAUACGCAAAAUCAGGGUUACAAACUUCUAUUCUCAAUUUUAUGAGAUUGAGAUAGGGAUGAAGAGAAUAUGCAUAAUCCAACACUUGAUCUGACAUUUCAAUGUGAAGGAUAAUUUCUGGUUCUGAGUCUGUAAAUUAUCAAUUUUCAUUUCAGUAUUAGUUUAGUUUCUUCUAUAAAUUUGAUAUUUCAAUCAAGGAUAAUUUCUGGUUCUGAGUCUGUAAAUUACCAACUUUCAUUUCAGUAUUGGUUUAGUUUCUUCUAUAAAUUUGAUAUUUCAAUCAGAUGAUGAGACUCAGAAAAUCUUAGGACACCUUCCUACACAGUUAUAAAAUAACUGUGGAUGAGAAAGACUUUCUAUCUCUGAUGAUAAGUAUAAUAAUGGGAUA